GCGUCUUAAGCAUGCAAGUCGAGCGGGCUUAUUCGGGCAACUGGAUAAGUUAGCGGCGAACUGGUGAGUAACACGUAGGUAAUCUGCCGUGAAGUGGGGGAUAACCCAUGGAAACAUGGACUAAUACCGCAUAUACUCUUGCUACAUAAGUAGAGUAGAGGAAAGUUUUUUCGCUUCACGAUGAGCCUGCGGCCUAUUAGCCUGUUGGUAGGGUAAUGGCCUACCAAAGCUACGAUAGGUAGCCGACCUGAGAGGGUGACCGGCCACAUUGGGACUGAGAUACGGCCCAGACUCCUACGGGAGGCAGCAGCUGAGAAUCUUCCACAAUGGACGAAAGUCUGAUGGAGCGACAUCGCGUGAGGGAUGAAGGCCUUCGGGUUGUAAACCUCGGAAAUUAUCGAAGAAUGAGUGACAGUAGAUAAUGUAAGCCUCGGCUAACUACGUGCCAGCAGCCGCGGUAAUACGUAGGAGGCAAACGUUGCUCGGAUUUACUGGGCGUAAAGGGUGAGUAGGCGGAUUUAUAAGUCUAAGGUGAAAGACCGAAGCUCAACUUCGGGAACGCCUCGGAUACUGUAAGUCUUGGAUAUUGUAGGGGAUGAUGGAAUUCUCGGUGUAGCGGUGGAAUGCGCAGAUAUCGAGAGGAACACCUAUAGCGAAGGCAGUCAUCUGGGCAUUUAUCGACGCUGAAUCACGAAAGCUAGGGGAGCAAACAGGCUUAGAUACCCUGGUAGUCCUAGCCGUAAACGUUGUACACUAGGUGCUUCUAUUUAAAUAGGAGUGCCGUAGCUAACGUCUUAAGUGUACCGCCUGAGGAGUAUGCCCGCAAGGGUGAAACUCAAAGAAAUUGACGGGUCCCCGCACAAGUGGUGGAGCAUGUGGUUUAAUUCGAUGAUACGCGAAAAACCUUACCUGGGUUUGAAUUGUUAGAUGAAUGAUUUAGAGAUAAGUCAGACCGCAAGGGACGUUUAACAUAGGUGCUGCAUGGCUGUCGUCAGCUCGUGUCGUGAGAUGUUGGGUUAAGUCCCGCAACGAGCGCAACCCUCACCCUCUGUUGCUACCGAGUAAUGUCGAGCACUCUUAGGGGACUGCCUACGUUCAAGUAGGAGGAAGGUGGGGAUGAUGUCAAGUCCUCAUGGCCCUUAUGUCCAGGGCUACACACGUGCUACAAUGGCAAGUACAAAGAGAAGCAAGACCGCGAGGUGGAGCAAAACUCAAAAAAGUUGCCUCAGUUCGGAUUGGAGUCUGAAACUCGACUCCAUGAAGUUGGAAUCACUAGUAAUCGUAGAUCAGAACGCUACGGUGAAUACGUUCCCGGGGAUUGUACACACCGCCCGUCACGCCAUCGGAGUUGGUUUUACCUGAAGCCGUUAGCCUAACCGCAAGGAGGGCGGCGUCGAAGG
rnacentral:rRNA from 1 species